rnacentral:rRNA from 1 species
AGCAUAUCAAUAAGCGGAGGAAAAGAAACCAACAGGGAUUGCCUUAGUAACGGCGAGUGAAGCGGCAACAGCUCAAAUUUGAAAGCUGGCCCUUUUAGGGUCCGCAUUGUAAUUUGUAGAGGAUGAUUCGGCGAGGGCUCCUGCCUAAGUCCCCUGGAACGGGGCGUCAUAGAGGGUGAGAAUCCCGUAUGCGGUAGGUUGCCUUAGCCAUGUGAAUCUCCUUCGACGAGUCGAGUUGUUUGGGAAUGCAGCUCUAAAUGGGAGGUAAAUUUCUUCUAAAGCUAAAUACCGGCCAGAGACCGAUAGCGCACAAGUAGAGUGAUCGAAAGAUGAAAAGCACUUUGGAAAGAGAGUUAAAAAGUACGUGAAAUUGUUGAAAGGGAAGCGCUUGCAACCAGACUUGUCCGCAGUUGCUCAGCCGGUCUCCUGACCGGCGUACUCUUCUGCGGCCAGGCCAGCAUCAGUUCGGGCGGUCGGAUAAAGGCCUCGGGAAUGUAGCUCCUCUCGGGGAGUGUUAUAGCCCGGGGUGGAAUGCGGCCAGCCUGGACUGAGGAACUCGCUUCGGCAAGGAUGCUGGCGUAAUGGUUGUAAGCGGCCCGUCUUGAAACACGGACCAAGGAGUCUAACAUCUAUGCGAGUGUUCGGGUGUCAAACCCGUACGCGUAAUGAAAGUGAACGGAGGUGGGAACCCGCAAGGGUGCACCAUCGGCCGAUCCUGAUGUCUUCGGAUGGAUUUGAGCAAGAGCAUAGCUGUUGGGACCCGAAAGAUGGUGAACUAUGCCUGAAUAGGGUGAAGCCAGAGGAAACUCUGGUGGAGGCUCGCAGCGGUUCUGACGUGCAAAUCGAUCGUCAAAUUUGGGUAUAGGGGCGAAAGACUAAUCGAACCAUC